rnacentral:lncRNA from 1 species
UGAAAGAUGACAAUUGCUAUAUAUGUAGGCAUCGAACUUGAUAUCAUGUGAAUUGGAGAGCUAAUGUCAUCAAGCGGCAUUGAGCUCAGGACUUGUGUGAACCUAGUGGAUAGGGCCAUUGAGGGAUUUGGAAAACAUGUUGAACAUCAAAUUGCCUAAGUGUCAUCAAGGGGCACUAGGCGUAGCAAAUGUUGAAACUUCACAUUGUGACUUAGACUAGAUCUUCGGGAUGCUAGUUAUGAUACCAUGUUAGAGACAUGAGGAUUGGAUAUUUGAGACUUGGAC